UGCGUACCUUUUGUAUAAUGGGUCAGCGACUUAUAUUCUGUAGCAAGGUUAACCGAAUAGGGGAGUCGAAGGGAAACCGAGUCUUAACUGGGCGUUAAGUUGCAGGGUAUAGACCCGAAACCCGGUGAUCUAGCCAUGGGCAGGUUGAAGGUUGGGUAACACUAACUGGAGGACCGAACCGACUAAUGUUGAAAAAUUAGCGGAUGACUUGUGGCUGGGGGUGAAAGGCCAAUCAAACCGGGAGAUAGCUGGUUCUCCCCGAAAGCUAUUUAGGUAGCGCCUCGUGAAUUCAUCUCCGGGGGUAGAGCACUGUUUCGGCAAGGGGGUCAUCCCGACUUACCAACCCGAUGCAAACUGCGAAUACCGGAGAAUGUUAUCACGGGAGACACACGGCGGGUGCUAACGUCCGUCGUGAAGAGGGAAACAACCCAGACCGCCAGCUAAGGUCCCAAAGUCAUGGUUAAGUGGGAAACGAUGUGGGAAGGCCCAGACAGCCAGGAUGUUGGCUUAGAAGCAGCCAUCAUUUAAAGAAAGCGUAAUAGCUCACUGGUCGAGUCGGCCUGCGCGGAAGAUGUAACGGGGCUAAACCAUGCACCGAAGCUGCGGCAGCGACGCUGAUGCGUUGUUGGGUAGGGGAGCGUUCUGUAAGCCUG
rnacentral:rRNA from 1 species